rnacentral:rRNA from 1 species
GCUGUGGAACUCCUACGGGAGGCAGCAGUGGGGAAUAUUGGACAAUGGGCGCAAGCCUGAUCCAGCAAUGCCGCGUGAGUGAUAAAGGCCUUAGGGUUGUGAAGCUCUUUUACCCGUGAUGAUAAUGACAGUAGCGGGAGAAUAAGCCCCGGCUAACUCCGUGCCAGCAGCCGCGGUAAUACGGAGGGGGCUAGCGUUGUUCGGAAUUACUGGGCGUAAAGCGCACGUAGGCGGCUUUGUAAGUUAGAGGUGAAAGCCUGGAGCUCAACUCCAGAACUGCCUUUAAGACUGUAUCGCUUGAAUCCAGGAGAGGUGAGUGGAAUUCCGAGUGUAGAGGUGAAAUUCGUAGAUAUUCGGAAGAGCACCAGUGGCGAAGGCGGCUCACUGGACUGGUAUUGACGCUGAGGUGCGAAAGCGUGGGGAGCAAACAGGAUUAGAUACCCGUGUAGUCCUACCACGU